rnacentral:rRNA from 1 species
GGAGUUUGGGCCGUGUCUCAGUCCCAAUGUGGCCGAUCACUCUCUCAAGUCGGCUACUGAUCGUUGCCUUGGUAGGCCGUUACCCUGCCAACUAGCUAAUCAGACGCGGGUCCAUCUUAUACCACCGGAGUUUUUCACACAAGGAGAUGCCUCCUCGUGCGCUUAUGCGGUAUUAGCAGCCGUUUCCAACUGUUCGUCCCCCGGUAUAAGGCAGGUUACCCACGCGUUACUCACCCGUCCGCCACUAAGUUUAGUCAAAAGCAAGCUUCCAUCUAAACUCCGUUCGACUUGCAUGUGUUAAGCACGCCGCCAGCGUUCAUC